rnacentral:ribozyme from 1 species
GCAGACUCAAAAAUUGAAAACCCAUACAGACCGGCUGACAUAAAUUAAAGUUUGAUGUAUAAUGUUUAAUGUAAUGUUUAAUGUUUAAUGUUUUAUGUUUUACGAUUUUGUUUUUUUGUGUAAGUUUUAUG